rnacentral:rRNA from 1 species
CGGACGGGGUGGAGGUAAAUGUCUGGGAAACUGCCCGAUGGAGGGGGGUAACUACUGGAAACGGUAGCUAAUACCGCAUAACGUCGCAAGACCAAAGAGGGGGACCUUCGGGCCUCUUGCCAUCGGAUGUGCCCAGAUGGGAUUAGCUAGUAGGUGGGGUAACGGCUCACCUAGGCGACGAUCCCUAGCUGGUCUGAGAGGAUGACCAGCCACACUGGAACUGAGACACGGUCCAG